GGAUUAACGCUGGCGGCAUGCCUAAUACAUGCAAGUCGAUCGGAUGUAGCAAUACAUUAGAGGCGAACGGGUGAGUAACACGUAUCCAAUCUGCCUUAUAGUGGGGGAUAACUAGUCGAAAGAUUAGCUAAUACCGCAUAACAAGUUAACUAUCGCAUGAGAAUAACUUUAAAGAAGCAACUGCUUCGCUAUAAGAUGAGGGUGCGGCAUAUCAGCUAGUUGGUGAGGAUAAUGGCCCACCAAGGCGAUGACGUGUAGUUAUGCUGAGAGGUAGAAUAACCACAAUGGGACUGAGACACGGCCCAUACUCCUACGGGAGGCAGCAGUAGGGAAUUUUUCACAAUGGACGAAAGUCUGAUGGAGCAAUGCCGCGUGAACGAUGAAGGUCUUUUUAGAUUGUAAAGUUCUUUUAUUUGGGAAGAACAGUUAAUAGAGUGGAAAGCUAUUAAUUUGACUGUACCAUUUGAAUAAGUAACGACUAACUAUGUGCCAGCAGUCGCGGUAAUACAUAGGUUGCAAGCGUUAUCCGGAUUUAUUGGGCGUAAAACAAGCGCAGGCGGAUUAGAAAGUCUGGUGUUAAAAGCAAUUGCUUAACGAUUGUAUGCAUUGGAAACUUCUAGUCUAGAGUUUGGUAGAGAGUCCUGGAACUCCAUGUGGAGCGGUGAAAUGCGUAGAUAUAUGGAAGAACACCAGAGGCGAAGGCGAGGACUUGGGCCAAUACUGACGCUUAGGCUUGAAAGUGUGGGGAGCAAAUAGGAUUAGAUACCCUAGUAGUCCACACUGUAAACGAUGGAUGUUAAGUGUCGGAGCGAAUACUUCGGUGCUGCAGUUAACACAUUAAACAUCCUGCCUGAGUAGUACAUUCGCAAGAAUGAAACUCAAACGGAAUUGACGGGGACCCGCACAAGUGGUGGAGCAUGUUGCUUAAUUCGACGGUACACGAAAAACCUUACCUAGACUUGACAUCUUGGGCGAAGCUAUAGAAAUAUAGUGGAGGUCAACCCAAUGACAGGUGGUGCAUGGUUGUCGUCAGCUCGUGUCGUGAGAUGUUGGGUUAAGUCCCGCAACGAGCGCAACCCUUAUCGUUAGUUACUUUGUCUAACGAGACUGCCAACGUAAGUUGGAGGAAGGUGGGGAUGACGUCAAAUCAUCAUGCCCCUUAUGUCUAGGGCUGCAAACGUGCUACAAUGGCCAAUACAAUCAGUUGCAAAUCCGUAAGGUGGAGCUAAUCUGUAAAGUUGGUCUCAGUUCGGAUUGAGGGCUGCAAUUCGCCCUCAUGAAGUCGGAAUCACUAGUAAUCGCGAAUCAGCCAUGUCGCGGUGAAUACGUUCUCGGGUCUUGUACACACCGCCCGUCAAACUAUGAGAGCUGGUAAUAUCUAAAACCGUGUUGCUAACCGCAAGGAAGCGCAUGUCUAGGGUAGGGCCGGUGAUUGGAGUUAAGUCGUAACAAGGUACCCCUACGAGAACGUGGGGGUGGAUUACCUCCUUUCUAUGGAGUAUAUUAAUACACUAACACGAUAUACACCUGUUACAUAUAACGGUGAAACAAUUAAAACCCAGCAAGAAAAGUUAAACCCAUAAAAGCAAAUUGAUAACUUAAAAAUUGUUGGUCGGAUUCUAUUCAGUUCUCAAGGGGUAUUUUAAAAGCAGUUAUUAAGUUUUUUCUUUAAAGCUUUUUAACUUAAUAACACUUUAAGUUAACCUUGUAAACAUCAUUAAGUUUACCUUUCAAAGAUCCAAGAACAAUUAUUAAAACCUUUUUGGUCAGAUAACUAAUAAACUAACUAACUAGAUCAUUGAUGCAUAAUUAACUGCAUCAAUGAUUUUUUUUAUUAUUUUUACUGCAAAAAAUGCAGAUUUAUCUGUUCAAACCAAUGAUUUAAAAAGGCUUUUUUUAUUAUUAAUCAUUGGUUAUUUUUUACUUGUGAUUUUAGCUUUAAUGCUUAUAAAAAAAUCCAAUGAUAAAAGUUUUUUUAGAAAAGUGUUGUGCAAACUGAUUUAUUGUGCUAUAAUCUUUAAGGCUUAUAUAGCUACAUUGUUCUUUGAAAACUGAAUACGACAAAUCUUUCUAGUCCGAAAUUUGAUUAAAGUAUCAAAUCAAAUUUCAUAUAAUAUAGAUUCAAUAAAAAUAGCUAAUGGAUCAAAUACAUAAGUUACUAAGGGCUUAUGGUGGAUGCCUUGGCACUAGAAGGCGAUGAAGGACGUGCAAACCUGCGAAAUGCUACGGGGAGCUGGUUGGAAGCGAUAAUCCGUAGAUGUCCGAAUGGGGGAACCUGAUUAAUAGUGAUAUUAAUCAUUUAGAUCUGAAUACAUAGGGUCUAAAAGCAAUACGUUGUGAAGUGAAACAUCUCAGUAGCAACAGGAAAAGAAAUCGAAAGAGAUUCCGUGUGUAGUGGCGAGCGAAAGCGGAACAGGCCAAACCAAGAUUUAUCUUGGGGUUAUAGGACUGCAAUGUGGACUUUGAACUGAUAGGAGAAGUAGUUGAAAAGCUACGCGAUAAAGGGUUAUAGCCCCGUAUCUUAAAUUGGUUUAAUACCUAGCAGGAUCCUGAGUAAAUCGAGAAACGUUAUCUUGAUCGAAGUCGCCCAGACCAUUGGGCAAGCCUAAAUACUAACUAGUGACCGAUAGCGUAUAGUACCGUGAGGG
rnacentral:rRNA from 1 species